CUGCAUAAUCUUACAUGGGUUUUGUUUUAACAUUAUAAAUGUGAAGUUUGUCAAAAUUGGUUUACUAACUCUUUAAAUUAAUCUUUUUUAAAGUUAUUUUCUCCUGACAUUUAUUGUUGCUAUGUAAGUUCCGUUUCUGCCGCCCAUGGCAGUUGGUGGUUGCCGUAGCAACCAGUAACUGACAGCUCUCCCCAUUUUUUCUUUUCUCGGUUGUCUGUAACUGUGGGAUGCAUUACAAUCAGCUCCAUGUUUUAUUUACAAGUAUUGUACUUUGGCACAUAUUUUUAGACACAUUUAAUUAGGUCCAACAGGUCAUUGAAACACGGAUCCUCACCGUUCAACCAUGCCGCACAGGGAUCGUGAACUUUAAACUCCUCGCUCUCYAGAUCCUCCAUGGUCACAUGGGAGUGGAGUAACAAGACGACGACGGAGAGGGUGACCAGGGACAUGACGGCCAGGAUCACCACCAUGGCGAUCCCGAUGCCCUUCCAGUUCCUCGGCGGACCGU